CUCCCCUAGGUCUCCCCAAGCUGUCCCCGCCCAAGGGCACCCCAGAAGUGUUUGAACUGACCACUUCAGAGACUUCACCUCCGGCCAGCAGCCCAUCACAGGCCACUGGCGCUGGGAAUCCUCUCCGAAGCAGCCUUUGAGGAUCGGAUGAAAGAAAGCAGCCGGAUGGGGAACUCAGGAAUGCAGGGCUGAGUCAGGAAGACGCAAGGCUGAGGAGAGACAGGAAGGCAGAGAAGUGAUUAUCUGGGAGCAUGGGGGGCACCCAGCAAGUGCAAAGGCCCUGAGGUAGGAAUCUGAAGCGUUUUAGAUCCGGAAAGGAGCUGUGAAGCUGAAGAGCGGGGCUCAGUCUCCAGUGAGGGUCCAGACUCAGCCUCGGAGCGCCCCGGUCCAGAAGAUGGCGUUCUCCUUCUCCUCUGGGAGACGUCUCCCUGGGGUGCUGGCGCUGGCGCGUAACCGUUUGUGAGAGCCGAGUGCCGAGCUUUCGGGAAUUUUGCAAGCCAGUUGUUAAACGCAGCCGUUACCGUGAAUGAAACGAUUUACGCUUACAAUGAAAUAAAUUGUAUUAAACACAAAG